UACGUAGGGGGCUAGCGUUGUCCGGAUUUAUUGGGCGUAAAGAGCGUGUAGGCGGCCAGGUAGGUCUGCUGUGAAAACUCGAGGCUCAACCUCGAGAUGUCGGCGGAAACCAUCUGGCUAGAGUCCGGAAGAGGAGAGUGGAAUUCCUGGUGUAGCGGUGAAAUGCGCAGAUAUCAGGAAGAACACCCGUGGCGAAGGCGGCUCUCUGGGACGGUACUGACGCUGAGACGCGAAAGCGCGGGGAGCGAACAGG
rnacentral:rRNA from 1 species